GACGAACGCUGGCGGCGGGCUUAACACAUGCAAGUCGAACGGAAAGGCCCUGCUUUUGUGGGGUGCUCGAGUGGCGAACGGGUGAGUAACACGUGAGUAACCUGCCCUUGACUUUGGGAUAACUUCAGGAAACUGGGGCUAAUACCGGAUAGGAGCUCCUGCUGCAUGGUGGGGGUUGGAAAGUUUCGGCGGUGUGGGAUGGACUCGCGGCUUAUCAGCUUGUUGGUGGGGUAGUGGCUUACCAAGGCGUUGACGGGUAGCCGGCCUGAGAGGGUGACCGGCCACAUUGGGACUGAGAUACGGCCCAGACUCCUACGGGAGGCAGCAGUGGGGAAUAUUGCACAAUGGGCGGAAGCCUGAUGCAGCAACGCCGCGGGCGGGAUGACGGCCUUCGGGUUGUAAACCGCUUUCGCCUGUGACGAAGCGUGAGUGACGGUAAUGGGUAAAGAAGCACCGGCUAACUACGUG
rnacentral:rRNA from 1 species